rnacentral:rRNA from 1 species
GAUGAACGCUGGCGGCGUGCCUAAUACAUGCAAGUCGAGCGAACGGACGAGGAUCUUGCUUUUCUGAUGUUACCGGCGGACGGGUGAGUAAUGCGUGGGUUACCUACCUAUAUGACUGGGAUAACUUCGGGAAACCGGAGCUAAUACCGGAUAAUAUUAUGAACUGCAUGGUUCAAAAGUGAAAGACGGUCUUGCUGUCACUUAUAGAUGGAUCCGCGCUGCAUUGGGUAGUUGGUACGGUAAGGGCUUACCAAGUCAACGAUGCGUACCCGACCUGAGAGGCGGAUAGCCCACACGGGAACUGAGACAGCGUCCAGACUCCUACGGGAGGCAGCAGUAGGGAAUCGUACGCAAUGGGCGAGAGCCUGACGGAGCAACGCCGCGUGAGUGAUGAAGGUCUUCGGAGCGUAAAACUCUGUUAUGAGGGAAGAACAUAUGUGUGAGUAGCAGUGGAGAUCGUGACGGUACCUAAUGAGAAAGCCACGGCUAACUACGUG